rnacentral:rRNA from 1 species
UACAUAGGGUGCAAGCGUUGUUCGGAUUCAUUGGGCGUAAAGGGUGCGUAGGCGGCGCGGUAAGUCGGGUGUGAAAUCUCGGAGCUUAACUCCGAAACUGCAUUCGAUACUGCCGUGCUUGAGGACUGGAGAGGAGACUGGAAUUUACGGUGUAGCGGUGAAAUGCGUAGAUAUCGUAAGGAAGACCAGUGGCGAAGGCGGGUCUCUGGACAGUUCCUGACGCUGAGGCACGAAGGCCAGGGGAGCAAACGGG